CUGCUGUGGCCCUGAUCAAUGUGUGUGUCUGUGUGUGGGGGGAUUAGGUUUAUAUUACAUUGCGGAGACCAAAUGUCCCCCAAAAUGUAAAAAAGAACCCGUUUUUUCACAUUGUGGGGACCAUUUUUCAGGUCCCCACAAAGAUCUAUGAUCAAUAAAGUAAAAAUGCCAAAACUCUUGCAUUUCAUUUGGUUGCUUAUGGUUAAGCUUAGGGCUGGGUAGGGGUUAAGGUUGUCAUGUUGUGAUUAGAGUUUUCGUUGAAUUACCUGUUGACUGAAGGAAUCCCUUAAUGUUUAACAUUUUAAUUCAUAUCAAUUUAAAGUGAACGAGGGAGGUGCUGGGUAUAGAUUAGCAGUGGUGGCGUGCUGUGGUGUAGAGGUGCCGCUGGGUGUAGAUUAGCGGUGGUGGCGUGCUGUGGUGUAGAGGUGCCGCUGGGUAUAGAUUAGCGGUGGUGGCGUGCUGUGGUGUAGAGGUGCCGCUGGGUGUAGAUUAGCGGUGGUAGAGGUGCCGCUGGGUGUAGAUUAGCGGUGGUGGCGUGCUGUGGUGUAGAGGUGCCGCUGGGUAUAGAUUAGCGGUGGUGGCGUGCUGUGGUGUAGAGGUGCCGCUGGGUGUAGAUUAGCGGUGGUAGAGGUGCCGCUGGGUGUAGAUUAGCGGUGGUGGCGUGCUGUGGUGUAGAGGUGCCGCUGGGUAUAGAUUAGCGGUGGUGGCGUGCUGUGGUGUAGAGGUGCCGCUGGGUGUAGAUUAGCGGUGGUAGAGGUGCCGCUGGGUGUAGAUUAGCGGUGGUGGCGUGCUGUGGUGUAGAGGUGCCGCUGGGUAUAGAUUAGCGGUGGUGGCGUGCUGUGGUGUAGAGGUGCCGCUGGGUAUAGAUUAGCGGUGGUGGCGUGCUGUGGUGUAGAGGUGCCGCUGGGUGUAGAUUAGCGGUGGUGGCGUGCUGUGGUGUAGAGAUGCUGCUCUUGACCACCUGCCCUG